UGAUGUGUGGAACGGAUGUGGGUGGGGCUAUGUCUACAUAACGGUGUAAUUUUUCUUUUUUUAAAUCAAGAAAUUCACAAAAGCUCUGACGAAGGCAGUGAGAAUGAUACGUAAACUUAUUAAACAUCAGUGAUACUAUCAAGAGCCGUGAGGGAACUAUGUACGCAACCGGAUAGAAGUCACGCAGUAAUCCAUUAUAUGAUUUUGUGGCUGUGGGAAUUAUUAUUGUCUGAGCUAGAAUCAAAUAAUUUUGCGAACUAUGUAAGCAACCGGAAAGAGUAAUCCUUUGUAUGACUUUGUGGCUGUGACGACUACCAUAUUUGGCUCGCUGACAAACAAACGCCAGUACUUGAACUGCGUAGCAGCAUAUCAGAGUAAUCCACGUGGAAAUGGAACCGAAAUCACAGAAAAUAUAGUAGACGUUGUGGUGGCAGCUGUAGAGAGGUAUUUGGGUAUACGCGAUUUGUGUUCAGAGGAGUUACAGGGUGUGUUGAGUGGUGGUGACCCAUGCUAAAAGUAUUCCAAUUGUAGCCUGUUUCCUUGCGUAGGCUAACGUUGCUUGGUUGUACAUCCUCAAUUCUGGAACUGCAAAUGUAACGUUAUUAUUCUUGUAUGAGUUAGAAUGAAAUGUCCGCAACAGGAAGAGAGUCAUGCAGUAACCCUUUUAGCCACAACUUCCUAAGAAAAGCUGUGGCCUACAUGUGAUGUGUUUACAGUGUUUUACAAUUGCUUACACACUAAAGUGGUACUUGAGGCCAAGUCAUGUGCCUAAUCUUCAGACGAGGAGAACAAGGAGGGCAAGGACGAGGAGAACAAUCACAGAUGAGAUACGGGCUGUUUUGGUUGAGUUUCAGGGAGGCUGGGCAGAGGGUCCAGCCUAACUUGAGCCGCUACACUGCAGCAAGUGUCGUUCGGAGAACAGAAUUGCUAGACAACCCUUCAAUGGUGGAAGAAACUGUCUGUUCACUGCAGAGCAGGACCAACACAGUGAAUAUGGUCAUUUUAAACAACCGCAUACGUUAAUGACAACUGCAACCCCACAUCAUCACUGACAACACAACAUUCAGUAACAUAAAUAGUGUGAGUUUAUCCGGACUUGGCCGUCUCCUGAAACACCAUCAGAUUUGUAUGAAGCAGCUCUACAGAGUACCAUUUGAGCGAAAUUCUGACAGUGUGAAACAACCGCGCUAUGAGUACGUACAAGUAAGCUAUACUAUCCUGUCAUUGGUACUAUAUUCCAGUGUAUUGUGCUACAUAUUGACUGCUCUGUCUAUUCAUACUGUCAUGCAAUAAUGUCUUGUCUGUUUCUGUCACGGUGAUCCUCCUCUUCAUCUGAAGAGGAGAGGCGAGAAGGAUCUGAGGACCAAAAUGCGGCGUGGUGAUUGAGGAGGCCUGUGGUGACAUGAGGGAGCAUGCCAGGGCUGGAUACACCACUUCAGAUGCUACUUUCCCCACUGUUUAGCCAGAGAGAACAGCUCUUGUGAUGUUGAGGAGGUGCUGUGGCCAGACUCAAAUAGGAGACGAGAUGCACCCAAACUGUUUUUUCUUUAUAAACUCAGCAAAAAAAGAAACGUCCUCUCACUGUCAACUGUGUUUAAUUUCAACAAACUUAACAUGUGUAAAUAUUUGUAUGAACAUAAGAUUCA